rnacentral:rRNA from 1 species
AGAGUUUGAUCCUGGCUCAGGAUUAACGCUAGCGGCAGGCCUAAUACAUGCAAGUCGAACGGUAACAGGUGUAGCAAUACAUGCUGACGAGUGGCGCACGGGUGCGUAACACGUAUGCAACCUACCUAUAACUGGGGAAUAGCCUUCCGAAAGGAAGAUUAACACCGCAUAACAUCAUUCUACGGCAUCGCAGAAUGAUCAAACCUCCGGGGGUUAUAGAUGGGCAUGCGUAACAUUAGCUAGUUGGUGAGGUAACGGCUCACCAAGGCUACGAUGUUUAGGGGGUCUGAGAGGAUGAUCCCCCACACUGGUACUGAGACACGGACCAGACUCCUACGGGAGGCAGCAGUAAGGAAUAUUGGACAAUGGGGGCAACCCUGAUCCAGCCAUGCCGCGUGAAGGAUGACGGCCCUCUGGGUUGUAAACUUCUUUUAUACGGGAAUAAACCCCUCUACGUGUAGAGGGUUGAAUGUACCGUAAGAAUAAGGAUCGGCUAACUUCGUGCCAGCAGCCGCGGNUAAUACGAAGGAUCCAAGCGUUAUCCGGAUUUAUUGGGUUUAAAGGGUGCGUAGGCGGGCUAUUAAGUCAGUGGUGAAAUCCCCAAGCUUAACUUGGGAAUUGCCAUUGAUACUGAUGGUCUUGAGUACACUUGAGGUGGGCGGAAUGUGUCAUGUAGCGGUGAAAUGCUUAGAUAUGACACAGAACACCGAUUGCG